CCUACGGGAGGCAGCAGUGAGGAAUAUUGGUCAAUGGACGAGAGUCUGAACCAGCCAAGUAGCGUGAAGGAUGACUGCCCUAUGGGUUGUAAAAUUCUUUUAUAUGGGAGUAAACUGUUAUACGUGUGUGCUUUUGUAUGUACCAUAUGAAUAAGGAUCGGCUAACUCCGUGCCAGCAGCCGCGGUAAUACGGAGGAUCCGAGCGUUAUCCGGAUUUAUUGGGUUUAAAGGGUGCGUAGGUGGAUUGUUAAGUUAGUUGUGAAAGUUUGCGGCUCAACCGUAAAAUUGCAGUUGAUACUGGCAGUCUAGAGUACAGUAGAGGUGGGCGGAAUUCGUGGUGUAGCGGUGAAAUGCUUAGAGAUCACAAAGAACUCCGAUUGCGAAGGCAGUUCACUGGACUGCAACUGACACUGAGGCUCGAAAGUGUGGGGAUCAAACAGGAUUAGAUACCCUUGUAGUC
rnacentral:rRNA from 1 species